UGUCGAAACCCGGGAUCAAACCAGGGACCUUUAGAUCUUCAGUCUAACGCUCUUCCAACUGAGCUAUUUCGGA